rnacentral:lncRNA from 1 species
UUUCUUCCUCAGCCUGGGGCCAGCCCAGACUGGAUGUGGUUUCCUGUGUGUGUGUGUGUGUGUGUGUGUGCGCGCGCACGCGUGUGUGCAUGUGUUACCUGCCUUUCACUGGCCCUGAGGUUCAUGUCCACUAUGAUGAGCUCAGAACUCUCUCUCAGACCUGCUCAACAUGCCCCAAAGAGAUAGCAAGACACUUGGGCGGAAAACAGUGGGUGCCGAGGGCACACCGCUCUCCUAGGGUGGGAGUGGGAAGAGGGUAUUGCUCCUGGAACACCAGAUAAUGAUGCAAGCACAGAUAAUAAAACAACACACAUAAUUAGGAUUCUCUUCAUUGAAAGUUUUUCUCCCACCGAUUUUCUGAAAUCUUUGAUGUCUGAUGCUACCUCUAUUUUGGAAUCUGUGAUAGGUCCAUAUCUGAUUGAGCAGCCCGUCAACUAGUUAUUUUCUUUAAGUAUCUCUAGGUCUUCUCAAAGACAACCUUCCCGCCAGCCUGUCUGCCACAGGAAGUUUUGUGAAUCACUGAACCCCUGCUUCCAAGUCAGGCUAUUCUUCAGGAGGUGGGAACCCGGGAGUCAAGCUGUGGCCCUCACCCUUCCAGGGGAGCAAUCCUUCCUCACAGAGUUGGUUCAAGGCAUGAGGGGACAUCGGGCAGUGGAAGAGCUCUGUGAAAGCUGGCCCAGUCUCUUCUGGUUGGUGUUUGCAUGAGUGAACUCCACAGUGACAGUGGACAGCCUCUGUAUCAAUGUUGUGCUGGGCUUGGUGACUCAGAGAUAAACAGUACCUAACUCUGCCCCCAGGAGCCCACAGCCUGUUCUUGUUUCUGGAAGCAGACUUGGAUUCUGUGGGCCUUCUCUGCCCACUUGGUUUUCUGGGCACAGUCUGCUCCCCUGUGACUUUGAGUAAGGAGUUCUUCCCAGGCUUCCCUCCCCCGGCCUCCCAGUGCCCCACCCCCACGUGCUCAGUCUGUGGGAGUGAGAAUGGGAGGGGCCUCCAUUCACCCCAUCCAGGAGGCAACUGAGUCCAGAGAGGCUCAGAGGGUGGUCUGAAUUGUCCCCAAGAUCAAUAGCAAGGUGGCACCAUGCAAGCCCAGGUCUCUUGCCUAUUUUUUUUAAAAGUCUUUCCAAGAGUUUAUGUACAUUUAUUUUUAAUUGGAACAUAUAGUAUAAUGAUUUCAUAACAAAUAAAU